CUGUACUCUGUGGGAAGGUUAGGUUAGUUAGGACUCAGCCUGUACUCUGUGUGAAGGUUAGUUAGGACUCAGCCUGUACUCUGUGGGAAGGUUAGUUAGGACUCAGCCUGUACUCUGUGGGAAGGUUAGUUAGGACUCAGCCUGUACUCUG